CGGGGCGUGGCUCAGACUGGCUAGAGCGCUUGGUUCGGGACCAAGAGGUCGUAGGUUCAAAUCCUAUCGCCCCGACCA
rnacentral:tRNA from 1 species